GCUGAGAAGGGGAUUUCUCUCCCCAUCCUCGUCCCCGUUGGAAUCCGCCUCCCCCGCAAGACAAAGGGUUGUGAGCCUGCCUGGGGAUGAGGCCUCAUGUGGUGGAAGCUGCCCUUAGCUUCGCGGGGCUGACAGCUCUGGCCCAGGGCGUGUUCAUCAUGGCGAUCUGAUGGCACCAGGAGAAAUGGAGCCCCUGGCCAGUGUGAGUCGUAGCGGUGCAGGAGGGGAGACCCUGGAGGAAAGAGCCCGCCUAAAUUGCUGUCUGCAGAGUGAAUUUCCAGAGGCUUAGGAGGAGGAAGUUCUCCAGUGGCAUGUUUCCAGGCCUUGCUCAGGAAGCCCUGUAUUCAGGAGGCCAUCCUUUAAGGUUUUCAUGAGCUUAUGAGGGGCAGUCUUUAAAAGGCCAAAGCAGAUGGAGCCGGGCCGUCAGCAGAUGUGUUGCUUUGAGUAUUUGAUCCGGGAGCAACGAUCUCUGGGCACGUGAAUGUCAAAAAGCACGUCUCCUGGGUUGGAGGUUUCAGAUGCUGCCAUCUUCUAAAUUGUCUCCUGUCAUACUAGUGUGCUACGAACCUUGUUUCCAGAAGACUCUUAAGCUGUAGAACAUUUUAACGCUGAUGCCACAACACAGAUGAUGCCUUGUAGAUGGAGCUUGCACAUGGAUCCCAGUGACCCUCAUCUACCCACCUGCCUGCCUGUGCUUUUGUCAGAGGAAUUCUUAGUGUGAUAU
ensembl:lncRNA